rnacentral:tRNA from 1 species
GGCACCUUAGCCAAGUGGUAAGGCAGAAGUCUGCAAAACUUUCAUCCUCAGUUCGAUUCUGAGAGGUGCCU